rnacentral:rRNA from 1 species
UGGGGAAUAUUGCGCAAUGGGCGAAAGCCUGACGCAGCGACGCCGCGUGAGCGAUGAAGGCCUUCGGGUCGUAAAGCUCUGUCAGAGGGGACGAAACAUAGGCGGGAAUAAUACCCUGUCUAUUUUACGGGACCUUCAGAGGAAGCACCGGCUAACUCCGUGCCAGCAGCCGCGGUAAUACGGAGGGGGCUAGCGUUGUUCGGAAUUACUGGGCGUAAAGCGCUCGUAGGCGGUCUGUGAAGUCUGGUGUGAAAUCCCCCGGCUUAACUGGGGAAGUGCGCUGGAAACCAGCAGACUAGAGGACGGUAGGGGAUCGUGGAAUUCCUGGUGUAGCAGUGGAAUGCGCAGAUAUCAGGAGGAACACCAAUGGCGAAGGCAGGUCUCUGGGCCACUACUGACACUGAGGAGCGAAAGCGUGGGGAGCAAACAGG